AGUGGGAGCACAGGUUUACCUGUGUGACUGCGUACCUUUUGUAUAAUGGGUCAGCGACUUAUAUUCUGUAGCAAGGUUAACCGUAUAGGGGAGCCGGAGGGAAACCGAGUCUUAACCGGGCGUUAAGUUGCAGGGUAUAGACCCGAAACCCGGUGAUCUAGCCAUGGGCAGGUUGAAGGUUGGGUAACACUAACUGGAGGACCGAACCGACUAAUGUUGAAAAAUUAGCGGAUGACCUGUGGCUGGGGGUGAAAGGCCAAUCAAACCGGGAGAUAGCUGGUUCUCCCCGAAAGCUAUUUAGGUAGCGCCUCGUGAAUUCAUCUCCGGGGGUAGAGCACUGUUUCGGCUAGGGGGCCAUCCCGGCUUACCAACCCGAUGCAAACUGCGAAUACCGGAGAAUGUUAUCACGGGAGACACACGGCGGGUGCUAACGUCCGUCGUGAAGAGGGAAACAACCCAGACCGCCAGCUAAGGUCCCAAAGUCAUGGUUAAGUGGGAAACGAUGUGGGAAGGCCCAGACAGCCAGGAUGUUGGCUUAGAAGCAGCCAUCAUUUAAAGAAAGCGUAAUAGCUCACUGGUCGAGUCGGCCUGCGCGGAAGAUGUAACGGGGCUAAACCAUGCACCGAAGCUGCGGCAGCGAACGUAUCACUUAAAGCGAUUCAGCGGGUUACGAUUGACGGAGCGAAGCGACGUCAAAGCGUAUACAAAGUCGAGUCGGUUUAAGGAUACGUUCGUUGGGUAGGGGAGCGUUCUGUAAGCCUGUGAAGGUGUGUCGUGAGGCAUGCUGGAGGUAUCAGAAGUGCGAAUGCUGACAUAAGUAACGAUAAAGCGGGUGAAAAGCCCGCUCGCCGGAAGACCAAGGGUUCCUGUCCAACGUUAAUCGGGGCAGGGUGAGUCGACCCCUAAGGCGAGGCCGAAAGGCGUAGUCGAUGGGAAACGGGUUAAUAUUCCCGUACUUGGUGUUACUGCGAAGGGGGGACGGAGAAGGCUAUGUUGGCCGGGCGACGGUUGUCCCGGU
rnacentral:rRNA from 1 species